UGGGUGCCAGGGGACCGCUCCUGCGCUGGAGGUUUCUUGCGGUGAGAUUCCGUGGCGUGACGCAGAAGCAGCUUCGCUUCCGGGUCAUUCAGAAUGGCUUCCGGCCCCCUCGCAGUAGCUGGCGGCCACCCCACCUCCACAGUCGGUUCUAUGCCUCUGCUGCAUCUAGGCCACGUGGGCUAUGUGGCAGCACUCCGUUGGUGCCUCGUUCGUCCUAUCCUCUGAUCCCUGGGCCUGCGCCCUGGUUCUUCCUGAUUUCUGUUUAAGAAUACUGAUGUGGCAGCUCUUACCAGUGUAGGGUAAGGGAGUUAGAGGAGGCGAGGCUCGGAAAAAGAAGAAGGCCGGCACUUUACGGAACGGAUUCACCUUUAAUGAGGCAAGAAGGGGCAGCAUCAGAAUAGUGAGCUGCUGCACUAACCCAAGAAAAGAAACUGACUGAUUUGGAAAGACCUUGAUGCUGGCAAAGAUUGAAGGCAGGAG